GUGCUACUUUUUGCUUUAGGACACGCUGAGGUAUUUAUUCCUUUUGGGAUACAGGAUGAGAAUUCCCAAGAGAGGUAGUUAUAAGAAAAAAGUUCCACUGUGGUUUCUAAGUAGAGGAAAAGGGGGUGAAGACUCGGGGCUCGGAUGCCACUGGGGGCACCCCAAGGUCCCCCAGGAGACGGAGCCCCACUGCGGGGCAGGAGCAGAUAAAGAUAUUUAGAAAAACACAACCGAACGCCGCCGCCUUCGGCCGAAUGGAACGAGCUCAGCCGAGCCAAGGCGAGCGCAGCCGAACCUGACGGCCUCGAGCGAACCGAGGCGAGGCUUACGAGGCUGCCUGAAGCGAGCCGAGCUCAGCCGAACCGAGCCUGCUGCUGUGGUGCGCGCUAAUUAGCGCGAGUGCGGUCACAGCCUAAUGAGCUCCUGUCCCCGCCCGCGCUCCCGGUCGUGUCCGUGCGAUGGCCGGGCCGCCCGCGGGACGCGGCAGCAGGAGAGCCCCGAGCUGGGCGAGUUUAACGUGAGGCGGCGCCGCUUGCCCGCCCUCAGGGAGCCGAGCCGCGCCGCGGAGAACGCACCGAGCGGCUCCGAGUGUCUCCGAAGCGAGCCGAGGCGCGCCGAACACACCGAGCGGCUCCGAGUGUCUCCGAAGCGAGCCGAGGCGCGCCGAACACACAGAGCGGCUCCGAGUGUCUCCGAAGCGAGCCGAGGCGCGCCGAAGAGGCGAAUGC